GACGUAGGGCGCGAGCGUUGUCCGGAUUUAUUGGGCGUAAAGAGCGUGUAGGCGGUCCGGUAAGUCGGCUGUGAAAGUCCAAGGCUCAACCUCGGGCGUGCGAUGGAUACUGCCGGGCUAGAGGGUGGUAGAGGCGAGUGGAAUUCCCGGUGUAGCGGUGAAAUGCGCAGAUAUCGGGAGGAACACCAGUAGCGAAGGCGGCUCGCUGGGCCACACCUGACGCUGAGACGCGAAAGCUAGGGGAGCGAACAGG
rnacentral:rRNA from 1 species